rnacentral:rRNA from 1 species
GACGAACGCUGGCGGCGUGCUUAACACAUGCAAGUCGAGCGGAAAGGCCACUUCGGUGGUACUCGAGCGGCGAACGGGUGAGUAACACGUGAGUAAUCUGCCCCUGGCUUUGGGAUAGCCACCAGAAACGGUGAUUAAUACCGGAUACGACCACUUCUCGCAUGGGAUGGUGGUGGAAAGUUUUUUCGGCCAGGGAUGUGCUCGCGGCCUAUCAGCUUGAUGGUGAGGUAAUGGCUCACCAUGGCUUCGACGGGUAGCCGGCCUGAGAGGGUGACCGGUCACACUGGGACUGAGACACGGCCCAGACUCCUACGGGAGGCAGCAGUGGGGAAUAUUGGACAAUGGGCGGAAGCCUGAUCCAGCAACGCCGCGUGGGGGAUGACGGCCUUCGGGUUGUAAACCUCUUUCAGCAGGGACGAAGCGCAAGUGACGGUACCUGCAGAAGAAGCACCGGCCAACUACGUGCCAGCAGCCGCGGUAA